rnacentral:rRNA from 1 species
ACGUACAAGCAGUAGGAGCCCAUCACCAAAGUAUCUUUCUUGACGUUUUUACCUCGGUAAGAGCGCAGGAUUUUCAAACAAGGUUACACGGUUUUUUUGACCCGUAUCGCAGUGUACAUUCAAAGUACAUGAGAAACGGAAGCAAAAAAAGCGAUGUAAGAUUGGCAGAAAAGACAAGCGGAAGAUAUUUCGGGAUGGGUGACUGCGUACCUUUUGU